AGUGAACGCUGGCGGCGUGCCUAAUACAUGCAAGUCGAACGGAUUGGCGCACGCGUGAGUAAUGUAUAUCUAAUCUGCCCUACACUACAGGACACAAGUUGCGAACGACGGCUAAUACUCUAUAGUGUAGGAUGAGGCUAUAUUGUAUCAGCUAGUUGGUGGGGUAAUGGCUCACUAAGGCUAUGACGCAUAACUGGUCUGAGAGGAUGAUCAGUCACACUGGAACUGAGACACGGUCCGGGAUCCUUCGGGAGGCAGCAGGAGGGAAUAUUGCCCAAUGGGGGAAACCCUGAAGCAGCAACGGCGCGUGGAGGAUGACACUUUUCGGAGCGUAAACUCCUUUUGUUAGGGAAGCGGUACCUAACGAAUAAGCACCGGCUAACUCCGUGCCAGCAGCCGCGGUAAUUC
rnacentral:rRNA from 1 species